AUCAUGGCUCAGGAUGAACGCUAGCGGCAGGCUUAACACAUGCAAGUCGAGGGGUAGAGGAAGCUUGCUUCCUUAGAGACCGGCGCACGGGUGCGUAACGCGUAUGCAAUCUACCUUAUACAGGGGGAUAGCCCAGAGAAAUUUGGAUUAAUACCCCAUAGUAUAAUUGAAUGGCAUCAUUUGAUUAUUAAAGUUCCAACGGUAUAAGAUGAGCAUGCGUCCCAUUAGCUAGUUGGUGUGGUAACGGCACACCAAGGCGACGAUGGGUAGGGGUCCUGAGAGGAGAUCCCCCACACUGGUACUGAGACACGGACCAGACUCCUACGGGAGGCAGCAGUGAGGAAUAUUGGUCAAUGGGCGCAAGCCUGAACCAGCCAUGCCGCGUGCAGGAUGACGGUCCUAUGGAUUGUAAACUGCUUUUGUACAGGAAGAAACACUCCCUCGUGAGGGAGCUUGACGGUACUGUAAGAAUAAGGAUCGGCUAACUCCGUG
rnacentral:rRNA from 1 species